rnacentral:misc_RNA from 1 species
CUUGCACGCUAGUACCUUUGCUUUCCUUUCCUUUCCCACUCACUUGCUCCCUGGUGGUUGCCACCAUCUUCUCUUAACUACAUCUCACCCACUUUUUUCCCACACAACAAUGAUACCCACCGCCACCACCACCACCACCACUACCAUUAACCCAAUUUCCCUUUCUCUGACCUUCUCCUCUCCUCUUCUUAUCAUCCAUCCACCACCCAAUUCCCAAUCCACCUUCCUUCGCCAUGUCAACCCCUACUGAUUCCAUUCCCAGGCGGGUUCCUCCGCCGUGCUGGACCCAAGAAGAAACUAUUGCUCUAAUUGAAGCAUAUCGUGAUAAAUGGUACUCUGUUAACCGCGGCAACCUCCGCGCUGCCGACUGGGAC